AUAUGCCUACGGGGCGCAGCAGUGGGGAAUAUUGCACAAUGGGGGGAACCCUGGUGCAGCGACGCCGCGUGGGCGAGGCAGUAUUUCGGUAUGUAAAGCCCUAUCGGCAGGGAAGAAGAAAUGACGGUACCUGAGUAAGAAGCACCGGCUAAAUACGUGCCAGCAGCCACGGUAAUACGUAUGGUGCAAGCGUUAUCCGGAUUUACUGGGCGUAAAGGGAGCGCAGGCGGCGCGCCAAGUCUGAUGUGAAACCCCGGGGCUCAACCCCGGGCAUGCAUUGGAAACUGGCGGGCUGGAGUGCCGGG
rnacentral:rRNA from 1 species